GCUCCUACAAUUUUAGAGCUUUCAGGGGAUAAUUGGUCAAUCAGAGAAGCCGAGCCAGCUAUGGGUCCCAAAGAUGGUCGUCCUGACGGCCAAAAAUUAGAAAGCCCCUUCUAUUGGCUGAGAAUCAGAGAGCUUAAGGCAUCUGUGUAAUAGAAUCCACCACAUGCAAGAAGAUCCUCUAUGGAGAAGAUUAACCCCCUGCAUGAAACACAAGCACCCAAACUUGG
rnacentral:misc_RNA from 1 species